rnacentral:rRNA from 1 species
GAGGAAUAUUGCACAAUGGGCGCAAGCCUGAUGCAGCAACGCCGCGUGCGGGACGACGGCCUUCGGGUUGUAAACCGCUUUUCUGAGGGACGAGCGAGGACGGUACCUUAGGAAUAAGUCUCGGCUAACUACGUGACAGCAGCCGCGGUAAAACGGAGGAGGCGGGCGGUAUCCGGCUUUACUGGGCGUAAAGCGCGCGCAGGUGGCCGUGUAAGGUGGACGUUAAAGCUCCUGGCUUAACUGGGCGAGGGCUUUCGAUACUGCGUGGCUUGAGGUUGGGAGAGGGGUGUGGACUUCCCGGUGUAGUGGUGGAAUGCGUAGAUAUCGGGAGGAACACCUGAGGCGAAGGCGGCACCCUGGCCCACACCUGACACUGAGGGGCGAAAGCGUGGGGAGUAAACAG